rnacentral:rRNA from 1 species
UAGGGAAUCUUCGGCAAUGGACGGAAGUCUGACCGAGCAACGCCGCGUGAGUGAAGAAGGUUUUCGGAUCGUAAAGCUCUGUUGUAAGAGAAGAACGAGUGUGAGAGUGGAAAGUUCACACUGUGACGGUAUCUUACCAGAAAGGGACGGCUAACUACGUGCCAGCAGCCGCGGUAAUACGUAGGUCCCGAGCGUUGUCCGGAUUUAUUGGGCGUAAAGCGAGCGCAGGCGGUUAGAUAAGUCUGAAGUUAAAGGCUGUGGCUUAACCAUAGUACGCUUUGGAAACUGUUUAACUUGAGUGCAAGAGGGGAGAGUGGAAUUCCAUGUGUAGCGGUGAAAUGCGUAGAUAUAUGGAGGAACACCGGUGGCGAAAGCGGCUCUCUGGCUUGUAACUGACGCUGAGGCUCGAAAGCGUGGGGAGCAAACAGGAUUAGAUACCCUGGUAGUCCACGCCGUAAACGAUGAGUGCUAGGUGUUAGACCCUUUCCGGGGUUUAGUGCCGCAGCUAACGCAUUAAGCACUCCGCCUGGGGAGUACGACCGNNAAGGUUG